rnacentral:rRNA from 1 species
AAGACAGAGGGUGCAAACGUUGUUCGGAAUCACUGGGCGUAAAGCGCGUGUAGGCGGCAACGCAAGUCGGGUGUGAAAGCCCACGGCUCAACCGUGGAAGAGCACUCGAAACUGCGAGGCUAGAGUCCCGGAGAGGAAGGUGGAAUACUUGGUGUAGAGGUGAAAUUCGUAGAUAUCAAGUGGAACACCGGUGGCGGAGGCGACCUUCUGGACAGUGACUGACGCUGAGACGCGAAAGCGUGGGGAGCAAACAG